rnacentral:rRNA from 1 species
UACGUAGGGUGCAAGCGUUGUUCGGAUUCACUGGGCGUAAAGGGUGCGUAGGUGGUGAGGUAAGUCGGAUGUGAAAUCUCCGAGCUCAACUCGGAAAUGGCAUUGGAAACUACCUUGCUCGAGGGUUGGAGGGGGGACUGGAAUGCUUGGUGUAGCAGUGAAAUGCGUAGAUAUCAAGCGGAACACCAGUGGCGAAGGCGAGUCCCUGGACAACUCCUGACACUGAGGCACGAAAGCUAGGGGAGCAAACAGG